UUUAGUGCUAACCUCUUUGGCCGCACAAAUCUCCUCCAAGCAAAGUGGACGCACGUGGACUCCCUCAAAAAAAAGUGGACGCACGUGGGCGGCCACCGGCGAAGGGGGACGGCCGCCGGCGAACGAGGCCAUGCGCGAGACCGCAGCGAGGCGUCGCGGAGCCCUCUGCUCCGGUUUGUGAUCCGCGCAUCAGUCACCUCCAUCGCCACCGCGAGUCGCCUUCUCCUCCGUCGCUAGGAAUCCGGAAGCCGGCAAGGUAACUGAUCUCGGUGAACGAGGCCGCGCGCGAGACCGCGGCGAGGCGGCGCGGAGCCCUCUGCUGUCUGCUCCUUGCCGGUUUGUGAUUCGCACCGGUCACCUCCAUCGCCACCGUGAGUCACAUCCUCCUUCGCCGCCGGGAAUCCCGUCGCCGGCAAGGUAACCUCUCUCCCUGGUCCUCACGCCCUGCUUGCUGCGUGUGUGUGAUGUGUGGGUGCUUAUGUUGUGUGCUUGCUAGCUUGUCGAUGAUGGCCUACUACUGUAUACGUAUGAUUUUGGAGUCAGACUGUCAGAUUAUGAUCUAUGCACUUGAGGAAAGGGAUUAUGAUGUUGCUGAAUUGGGAGUCCUCUUUCGCGAAGCCAGAAGUUUGGUGUUGGGGAUUUCAAGCCCCUUACUUAAUUUGUUUCAAUUUUGGUUAGCAGCGAUUUACCUGUGCACCAAGUUUGAGUGGAAUACAUUUUUCCAUUCAAGAAAAACUUGGUGGAUUAAUUUGUUUUAUCCGGCGAGCACCAGUGAUGGUGCACGAUGACGGGCUUACUGGACCAGAAGAUAUCUGUACUCUUCUCAAUGGUGCAAAGUUGAGGUGUUCUCAAAUCUCAUUGGCCUAUUUUAUUUUACUACUGACUCUUGAAUGCUCUCUUUUUUCUGAUUUGGUUGUCUCUCUAUUCUUAUGUUCUUUACUUCCAAUUUCAACUUUCCAAGGAUUUAGUUAAAAAAAUUCAAGGAUUGUUCUUCUCAUGCCUUCUGUUGCCUGUUCAAGGAUUGUGCUGCAAUUUGGGGAGAGAUGGAGAACAUGGAGCCUUGGGCAGCUUAGGUAAAUCCUUCCUUAAGCGCAGUUGCCUUCUGGUCCAUAGGUAAAUCAUGAAACAAAACAUUGUUGCUUGUUCAACAUUUUCCUGAUGAAGUAAGAUGGUCUGCAUGUUAACAGUUGAAGAAUAUAAAAUAGGGAUGGUUUUUGAUUUGAUGGUUAAAACAAUGUUAAAAUAUGAUUGUUUUGUGCUCGCUUCAGAUAUUAAUCCAGUUAGGCUUCAUGGUAUAUGAAUGCACAAGCUUUUUAAGAGGGCCAAAAGAGAAAAUGGAAAACUAUUACAUAUGUCUUUCUGUCCAAACAAUAUAAAUCGAGAUUUCUAUCUUGCCAAAACUUCUUAUUAUUGCGUUCAUUUUCUUCCAAUUGUUUACAUGUCACCUCUUUGUUGGUUGUUGGUUGGUGCCAAGGCCAUUAGAAAAGAGUAAUGCCUCAAACAAGGUUGUUCCGAGGAUAGAACUCAGGGUGGCUACCAUCGAUGAUGCUAGCCAGCAAGCUCCUGGGUGACUACUCGAUGCCGACGAUUGUUGGUUUCCUUCAUGGCUAUUGUAAAAUGGUGCUUCAUAUAUCACAUGCUCUUUAUUGGGAUCUUUAUUGGCAAGCUAGCAUCACUUCACUUUUGUUCAUUUCUUUGGGGGUUGCAAGAAACAUAUGCUAAUGGUUAUGGACAUAUGAGCAAAUAAGAGAAGUUACAAUGUUGCAACUAUUCUCAGUUAUGAGAAUACUGAAAUGGAUAUAGACUGAUGAGAUGAUGUUCAUACAUGUUGAAGCAGGUUUCUGAAAGAAGUAAUGGGUAUAGACCUAACUAUGAUCAUCCUGUUGAUAGGACAUUCUCAUAGAUCGUUUUUUCUUGUUCUGGUUGAGAUAUAUUAAAGUCUGUGUACCCAUGAAAAAAGAAGAUACUUCAAAUUUUGUAUGUAGUACUUGGUGUAUGUGUGCUCAUGAGGUGUCCAGGUACUCAUGAUGUAACAUUAGAUUUUUGUUAUGUUCUAAUUUUCUUACCCUCGCAGUACCAACUAUGUAUACAGUACUCCAAGACUGCUAGCGCAUUGACUUUUCUUUGAAUUGUUUCUUCGUGAAAGUACCAUUUAUCUCUGAUAUUGUGUGAUGAUCACUGAAUAACUUAAAUACCUUUUCAGUAAUGACUCUGGAUAAAGACGAAAUAGAGAACAUAAUCUUGGUGGAGGCAUCUCAAUGGAGAUGGGAAAGUGUUGCAGAAGUGGAUUUAUUGGGUUGGGGAAAUAGAAAAAAGAAAUCUUGCUUGGUUUUUGUAUUCUCUUCCUGAUGUAUUUUUUAUGUAUUAUCGGCAUGGAAUAGAUGAUCCCUCUCACUUAAGUUGAUAUUGUUGUCUUAUACAUUAUGUUUCACUUCUCCA